GACAGAGGGUGCAAACGUUGUUCGGAAUUACUGGGCGUAAAGCGAGUGUAGGCGGUUUGAAAAGUCGGGUGUGAAAGCCCUGGGCUCAACCCAGGAAGUGCACUCGAUACUCUCAAGCUAGAGUAUCGGAGAGGUUGGUGGAAUUCUCGGUGUAGAGGUGAAAUUCGUAGAUAUCGAGAGGAACACCGGUGGCGAAGGCGGCCAACUGGACGAAUACUGACGCUGAGACUCGAAAGCGUGGGGAGCAAACAGGAUUAGAUACCCGUGUAGU
rnacentral:rRNA from 1 species